UACGUAGGUGGCGAGCGUUGUCCGGAAUUACUGGGUGUAAAGGGAGCGCAGGCGGGGAAGCAAGUCAGCUGUGAAAUCUAUGGGCUUAACCCAUAACGCGCAGUUGAAACUGUUUUUCUUGAGUGGAGUAGAGGUAGGCGGAAUUCCGAGUGUAGCGGUGAAAUGCGUAGAGAUUCGGAGGAACACCAGUGGCGAAGGCGGCCUACUGGGCUCUAACUGACGCUGAGGCUCGAAAGUGUGGGGAGCAAACAGGAUUAGAUACCCUGGUAGU
rnacentral:rRNA from 1 species